GCGUUGUUCGGAUUUACUGGGCGUAAAGAGCUCGUAGGCGGUGUGUCGCGUCGGCCGUGAAAACCUGCAGCUUAACUGUGGGCGUGCGGUCGAUACGGGCAUCACUGGAGUUCGGCAGGGGAGACUGGAAUUCCUGGUGUAGCGGUGAAAUGCGCAGAUAUCAGGAGGAACACCGGUGGCGAAGGCGGGUCUCUGGGCCGAUACUGACGCUGAGGAGCGAAAGCGUGGGGAGCGAACAGG
rnacentral:rRNA from 1 species